rnacentral:rRNA from 1 species
UACGUAGGGUGCGAGCGUUGUCCGGAAUUACUGGGCGUAAAGGGCUUGUAGGUGGUUUGUCGCGUUGUUCGUGAAAACUCACAGCUUAACUGUGGGCGUGCGGGCGAUACGGGCAGGCUAGAGUUCGGUAGGGGAGACUGGAAUUCCUGGUGUAGCGGUGAAAUGCGCAGAUAUCAGGAGGAACACCGGUGGCGAAGGCGGGUCUCUGGGCCGAUACUGACGCUGAGGAGCGAAAGCGUGGGGAGCGAACAGG